UACGGAGGAUGCGAGCGUUAUCCGGAUUUAUUGGGUUUAGAGGGUGCGCAGGCGGCGUGUCAAGUCAGCGGUAAAAUGUCGGGGCUCAACCCCGGCCGGCCGUUGAAACUGGCGUGCUCGAGUUGGAGAGAAGUAUGCGGAAUUCGUGGUGUAGCGGUGAAAUGCAUAGAUAUCACGAAGAACCCCGAUUGCGAAGGCAGCAUACCGGCUCCACACUGACGCUGAGGCACGAAAGCGUGGGUAUCGAACAGG
rnacentral:rRNA from 1 species